rnacentral:lncRNA from 1 species
ACAAUAGUUAGGGUGGGGAAUUUGGGAGCAAGGCGUUUGUGCAGAGGUCUGAAUGAACCAGAAAGCAACGGUGUGUUGGCAGGGGCACCACUGGAAUCUUGGCCUUGAAUGAGAAAUGGUUUCAAUGAAAACAU